AUGAUAAAGCCAUCCUCUUUUAAGCAACAAAUAUUACCAGAGAAAAGGGAGUUAGUUAAGCUGCUGCAGUGCAUAAAGGGACCAUCCAGAGUGACACGGCGGCCACUCAGCAGGCAGCCCCAGCGCUCAUCCUGUCUCCCCAGACCCGCUCACCCCAACGCCGCAUUUUCUCCCGCUGCUCCAAAGAGAACUCACAAGGAAUUGAAUGACCUGGCACGGGACCCACCCCCGCCCAGCACAGUGUACAGCCGGUCCUGUUGGAGAUGGCAUGUCGACUGGCAAGCUGCAAUAAGAGGCAAAAUGACAGUCCCAAUCAGGGUGUAAUAUUUUUCUUGCAAUUCAUUUCCCAACAGACUUCCCCCUCAAACCCCCUAAGGUUGCAUUUACAAGAAUGUAUUUUCCAAAUAGUAACAGUAAUGGCAGCACGUGUCUUGACAUUCUGUGGUCACAGUGGUCUCCAGCACUAUUUCAAAAGUACUCUUUUCCAUUUGUUCCCCAUUGUAUGAUUCCAAUCCACAUGAUCUUCUAGUGAAUGAGGUUGCUGAGAUCUACAGAAAGGAUAGAGAAAAGUAUAGCAGAAUAGCUCAGGGAUGGACUCAAAGUAUGCCAGGUAAUUAAAGAAACUGAAUAACCUCUACAAAUAAAGACAGGGGCACUCUGAAAGAGAAA